rnacentral:rRNA from 1 species
UACGGGGGGAGCAAGCGUUGUUCGGAUUUACUGGGCGUAAAGGGCGCGUAGGCGGCCACCGCAAGUCGGUUGUGAAAUCUCCGGGCUUAACCCGGAAAGGUCAACUGAUACUGCGGGGCUAGAGUGCAGAAGGGGCAACUGGAAUUCUCGGUGUAGCGGUGAAAUGCGUAGAUAUCGAGAGGAACACCUGCGGCGAAGGCGGGUUGCUGGGCUGACGCUGACGCUGAGGCGCGAAAGCCAGGGGAGCGAACGGG